rnacentral:misc_RNA from 1 species
UCCGAGUUGACCCCGGCGGUCUCCCGUGAGUCCCCAGCACCACAAGGGCCUGCUGGCAACACGGGACAAGGGUUGCGCUCGUUGCGGGACUUAACCCAACAUCUCACGACACGAGCUGACGACAGCCAUGCACCACCUGUACACCGACCACAAGGGGGAACCUGUCUCCAGGGUUUUCCGGUGUAUGUCAAGCCUUGGUAAGGUGGGGAUGACGUCCUUGCUAGGUAA